GAUGAACGCUAGCUACAGGCUUAACACAUGCAAGUCGAGGGGAAACGAUAUUGGAAGCUUGCUUCCGAUAGGCGUCGACCGGCGCACGGGUGAGUAACGCGUAUCCAACCUGCCCGUCACUUGGGAAUAACCUUGCGAAAGUAAGACUAAUGCCCAAUGACAUUUAUAGAAGGCAUCCGAAAUGAAUUAAAGAUUUAUCGGUGAUGGAUGGGGAUGCGUCUGAUUAGCUUGUUGGCGGGGUAACGGCCCACCAAGCCUACGAUCAGUAGGGGUUCUGAGAGGAAGGUCCCCCCACAUUGGAACUGAGACACGGUCCAAACUCCUACGGGAGGCAGCAGUGAGGAAUAUUGGUCAAUGGGCGAGAGCCUGAACCAGCCAAGUAGCGUGCAGGAUGACGGCCCUAUGGGUUGUAAACUGCUUUUAUAAGGGAAUAAAGUGAGUCUCGUGAGACUUUUUGCAUGUACCUUAUGAAUAAGGACCGGCUAAUUCCGUG
rnacentral:rRNA from 1 species